rnacentral:lncRNA from 1 species
AAAAAAAAAAAAAAGUUAAACGAGAACUAUUUAAGUUCUUAAAGAAUACGUAGAUAAAGAAUCUAUAGUAUGUUGGUUUUUUUUAAUACUAAUGCAUUUUAUUACAAGUGUGGUUGAUAUAGAUAACAAACAAGCAGCCCAAAAAGAAAAAAAAAAGAAAAAUAGAUAUCCACAUAUGUAUAGUACACAAAAAGUUGGAUCAAUUAAAUAUAUAAUAAUUAGCCAAAAAGAAAGUAGAAAUUAAACAUGUCAAUGACUCAUCCUGUGUCAGCAGCAAAUAGGAAAGCCUUAUGGUUUCCUAAAGGCAGCUGACACCAGGGGACGAUACCUUAUGGGCCAUAGGCAUGUAAAAUGUGUGUAAAUGUCUCUUUCCUACCUGUAUCAAAAGCAAACAAGGAAGCAUCAUAGGUAACUUGAAUGCAGUUGAUACCAGGGACGAUGCCUCAAGGAUAUAAGAGAACAUUUGAAUAAAUAAUAUAUCUUAACAAUUAUUUUUUUUUUAAUCGGCUAGUAUGUUUGUGAUAUUCAUAUGAAUAUAAUUUU